CUCCUGAUGUCUUUGAUAAAGGGAAAGCUUUUUCAGUUCUGGGUCUAAGCUUUCGGGUUCUGGUUCUGGUUCUUCUGAGCUUCUGUAGGCAUCUGCAAUAGCUUUCCCUUUAUCAAAGACAUCAGGAGGGACAGUGUGGAGGAGGCUGUCUAGGGCAUCAAGGGCAACGCCUAUUUUUGCCUUCAUUGAUUUGACUGAAGCUGCUGGAUCAUUUCUUGAUGCAAGGAGAAGCAAGGCAUCCAGUUCUUCCAAGGCUCUGAGACAUUGAUCAACAUCAUUGAAAGCAGUGUUGCCACUUCCAGCAUCUGAGGCAUAUUGCGCUACUGCACGAAUAUUUAUACGAAGAGAGGCUGCAGGACCAGAGCGUAACAGAUAUCGACAGUCAGCAAACUGGGGUUGAU
rnacentral:misc_RNA from 1 species